CAGGGAAGAAGCGCAAGUGACGGUACCUGCAGAAGAAGCACCGGCUAACUACGUGCCAGCAGCCGCGGUAAUACGUAGGGUGCAAGCGUUGUCCGGAAUUAUUGGGCGUAAAGAGCUCGUAGGCGGUCUGUCGCGUCUGCUGUGAAAAUCCAGGGCUUAACCCUGGACCUGCAGUGGGUACGGGCAGACUAGAGUGCGGUAGGGGAGAUCGGAAUUCCUGGUGUAGCGGUGAAAUGCGCAGAUAUCAGGAGGAACACCGGUGGCGAAGGCGGAUCUCUGGGCCGUAACUGACGCUGAGGAGCGAAAGCAUGGGGAGCGAACAGGAUUAGAUACCCUGGUAGUCCAUGCCGUAAACGUUGGGCGCUAGGUGUGGGGCUCAUUCCACGAGUUCUGUGCCGCAGCAAACGCAUUAAGCGCCCCGCCUGGGGAGUACGGCCGCAAGGCUAAAACUCAAAGGAAUUGACGGGGGCCCGCACAAGCGGCGGAGCAUGCGGAUUAAUUCGAUGCAACGCGAAGAACCUUACCAAGGCUUGACAUACAGGGUAAUCCGGCAGAGACGUCGGGUCCGCAAGGGAUCCUGUACAGGUGGUGCAUGGUUGUCGUCAGCUCGUGUCGUGAGA
rnacentral:rRNA from 1 species